rnacentral:lncRNA from 1 species
CCGGAGGAGGUGGCGUAGAAACCAUUGGAGGGGAUCUUCGACAGGAGAGUGGACAACACUCGGGCUAUGUUUGAGGAGGCAAGCCGGGUGGUGUUCCUAUCGGUGCUGCAGUAGUGUGCGAGGGAGUCUGUAGCCUCGCAUUGUGGGUGAGGAAUUAGGAAUAAGAGGAAGAGAAAGGAGAUGAGGGAAGACGCCGGCGAAGGCAUAGCUUGAUUGUAUACUCCGCACUGCUGUUG